AGGGAAUCUUCCGCAAUGGACGAAAGUCUGACGGAGCAACGCCGCGUGAGUGAUGAAGGUUUUCGGACCGUAAAGCUCUGUUGCCAGGGAAGAACGUCGGGUAGAGUAACUGCUACCCGAGUGACGGUACCUGAGAAGAAAGCCCCGGCUAACUACGUGCCAGCAGCCGCGGUAAUACGUAGGGGGCAAGCGUUGUCCGGAAUUAUUGGGCGUAAAGCGCGCGCAGGCGGCCAUUUAAGUCUGGUGUUUAAUCCUGGGGCUCAACCCCGGGUCGCACUGGAAACUGGACAGCUUGAGUGCAGAAGAGGAGAGUGGAAUUCCACGUGUAGCGGUGAAAUGCGUAGAGAUGUGGAGGAACACCAGUGGCGAAGGCGACUCUCUGGGCUGUAACUGACGCUGAGGCGCGAAAGCGUGGGGAGCAAAC
rnacentral:rRNA from 1 species